rnacentral:rRNA from 1 species
AGCGUAGGUGGCCUAACAUGUCAACUGUGAAAACCCGGAGCUCAACUCCGGGCUUGCAGUUGAAACUGGUAGGCUUGAGGACGGUAGAGGAAGACGGAACUGCCAGUGUAGGGGUAAAAUCCUUAGAUAUUGGCAGGAACGCCGGUGACGAAGGUGGUUUUCUGGGCCGGUUCUGACACUGAUGCUCGAAAGCCAGGGGAGCGAACGG